AGAAGCUUCUUCUCGCUUCGUGAACACAGAGUCUCAUCUUUCGCCACUCACCGACGCUGCCCAAAACCAGUCUCAUCUUUCUUUCCCUCUCAUUGUCACCUCUGAUUAUUAUCAUGGGUUGAGGAAGGAGUAUCAGAAUCUUUUCCUCCGCUCUCAAAUUUGAUGUCUGCUAACAGAGCUUUGGAAAUCAAUAGAUCCCUGUGUAAAAACGUCUCUCUUCUCUCUGUCUUCUCAAUAGAGCUAUGAUGUUACUCGAUGGCGGUAAUAUAAGGUGUUUAUUUUGGUCUAUGCGUAUGCGACGGUAAGGUUAGCUUUUGCUUAAAUUGGUAUUUGUAAAGGAUUGAUUGUGGUUAGCGUAAUCCUGCUCAGGGUGUUACUGCAAUUGAGUGUUAUUCACAGGUGAAGUUCAUCAGAAUGUUCUUUGUGUGACUUUAUUUAAUAAGUUGCUCAAGAAAAUUUACUACGAAAUUUGGUUGAUACCAAUGCCAAGUUCGGUAUUAGACUGUUUUGUCAUUAUACACACUCAAGCUAAGAUGAGACAAGAACAAAUAAAUUGGUAGUUCAAAGUUCAUUGAUGUUGGAAACAUGGCUUCUCCCACAAUUUUUGUCCGUCGUAGUUUGUUUUAUCUCAUGGAUGAGAUGCCUCUGGAUGCUUUAAACGAUGCAAUGCAAGCUCAAGUAAUUUCCCCAAUAAGGCACAUUGCAUCUUAUCUACAGGCUGCUGCCCUUUUUGCACUCGGAAUGGAGACUGAGGCGCAAUCAGCACUGAAGGAGGGUAAGUGCUUGAAACCAAAAGGAACACUGUAGCUGGACUCAAGUGAAAAAUCAAGGCUCAGGUACCAAAUCAGACACUACUUAGUUUUGCUCUCAACAUAUAUAGGUGUUAACAGAAAGUCCCAAACAAGGGAAGUCAAAGCUUCAUUCUUUACCAUGAUGUUUUAUAUAUGUUGAGUGCUUUAUUUAAUGUGAUCCCUUUGUCUCUAAAUGAUUCCACUAUACAAAUUGAAAAACAUUGAAUUAAAAAGUUGUAGGAGACAAUUGGAGGAAAAGAUGCAUGUAGUUCAGAAGCAUGUAAUUUAUGUACAGAUACAACUCCUAUUAAUUCUUUCUGGUGAAAAACAGUUCGAUUCAAGAAAGGAGCUUGAGUGUUGCAGUCCAUAAUUAAUAUGUAUUUAUAUAGUUAUUGAUAUUGUUGUUUAAACUAUAUACUGCAGAGAUGUUUGACAUAGACUAGCUAGAAUAGUUAUAUGCAAGGCAAACAGUUGACUGGAGAGUUCUCCAACAAGUUCCUACAGCAACAGUAGAAAUCAUUUAAUAAAAGAAAAUUUCUGGUAAUGAAUAAAUUGGAAGAAUUUAUGUGAGAGAGAGUGGAAAGAAUUGGAGGAGGCAGAUCAGAUCCCCAUUAAUGUCAAGUUUCUUAGAUUAGGGAGCUUGUUUAUUGUUUCCAGCCAAUCAGAAGUCUUAGAUCGGCCCAAGUCAGGUCCAGGUAUUUUAAAGAAGAAAGACGAGGGAGCCAAUUGUGGUUUUCUACAACCUAAGUGAAGCUUCAGAGUAGGUGUUAACAGAUCUAGAUUCUGCAAGUAAGGUUUCCAAGUGGAUGAUGUGGAAUUUCACAGCUUAAGACAGCGUUAGAGUGAUCUAGAUAUCUUAAAAUGGUCAGAUUACCAAUGAGCUCUGGAAUUUUGUUCCCGGUGAAGUCAUUGGAGUUGAGAUCUAGGUGUCUUAAAUUGGACAUAGAGCAAAUGAGCGCUGGAAUUUGGCCCCUAUUGAAGUCAUUAUGACUGAGGUCCAAAUAUUCCAACUACUACAACUCGAUGAGUUUAAGACUGCCUUUACUUUUAAAAAACUCACCUUGUGGAGAGACUCCUCCAAGAUGAAGUUGAAUGAUAAGGUGGGUCAGGGGAUCACAGUAGACUCCUCCUUCCCAGCUGCAAUAGUCUUGAUUUUCGGCUUCGCUGCCGAAUGAAGAAAGUCAGAUGUAGUCAUCCUUCAGGUCUUGUUUGAUAGCUAGGAGUGCAUCCCUCUCCCUCUCCACGCACUCUGUCGUCACGUUAACAUGGUGUUCACUGAGGGAUAAGGAAGCGUUGAUAUUGCAAGACAUGUUUCAAGCACCUUCUGGCCUCCAUAAUAACAAUUAAAUAAAAACGAGACUAUUUGAGACGAUAGAAGAAGCUCACGCCAUACAAGUAUUUAUAUGGCUGUCCAUACAAGUAUUUAUAUGGCUGUCUAUUCUUCAACAGUAGAUUAAUUUAGACCUUCUUGUUGUGCAUUAGAAUUUUUAACAGUGAUCAUGCCAACAGUUGCCUUCACUUGCAAUUCAUUGAUGUUGGAAACAUGGUAAGCUCAAGUAACUUCCCUAAUAUGGCACAUUGCAUCUCAUCUUCAGGCUGUUGCCCUUUCUCCACUCGGAUUGGAGAAUGAAGCACAAUCAGCACUGGAGGAAUUAAGUUUGAAGCCAAAAGGAAUACUGCUGGUGGACAUAAGCGAGAAUAAAGGCUUAGGUACUAAAUGUGACACUUAUGAUUCCAACAUAUAUAGGUUCAACACAAGGUUCCAAACGAGGGAAGUUGAGGCUUCACACAUUAUGGUGAUGUUUGAUAUGUGUCAAGUAUUUUCCAGUGCGCUAGUUUGUAGUUGAAUCUUUAUUUAAUUUGUUUGACCCUUAUACAGAUAACUUUGAAAAAACAUUCCAAACUAAUAAUAAUCCAAUGUUGAUAUAAGUAGAUCACUUAGGGUUGUUUUCUCUCGUCUCUCCCGAGGAACAGCCGCCACUUCCAUUUUCUUCUCUCCGUCCGACGGCGCGUCGCCUUGAUGUCGUCGUCGGACGGGUCUCCUUGGUUUCCUGCUAUUCUGCUCCCCCUUCGGGUUGGGUAGUGAGAGUGGCGCCCUGGAUCGGGUCCGAUCUGGAGCAUCUAGCGACUUUUGAGACGAUGGUUGAGGUCAUGCACGCUGGGUUCGAGCGGUGGAGGAGGUGGAUGUCGGACUCGUCUGGUUUCACAGUGGUCUGCUCCGGGUCGUGUGGUUGCUGCUCCUUUCGGUUUGGCUGGAACUUGAAGGACGAUGGCUUCUUCCUUCUUUUCUGGUAUGGAUCGAUGUGGUGGGUGCAAGUGGCGUUGAUGGUCGACGGCGAGUACUCCGGCGGGCAUCCAGGCGGGUUUGGCCAGGUUCAUGGUUUGCGGCUGAUGUACGUGUUGGGCCUCAUCUUGGGUCUCUGUUGCUGGGCUAGGGCAGGGUCUGCUUUGUUGGGCUUUGUUUCUUUAGGGUUUUUAAUCUAGGUUUUUUAGAUUUAAGCUAGCAUUUUUUUCUUUUUUCUUUGAGCCUCUGCUUUAAGAAUAAUAUUGGGGAAGGGUCUUGGCUGCGUUCGGAUCCUCCCUAGUAGUGUCAAGGUUACUUGAAUCAUUGGAGCUUAAUCCUAUGGUUACAUUAUGUUUGAGUAGUCUAGGGCUUGCUUUAGGUUGUUCAUUCAUGGCUCUCUUCUGUCGUUGCCCGGAGUCCGAGUGAGUCAUUUGUAAUGUUUCUUACUUUACUAUUAAUGGACUGACACCCCACGUGUUCAAAAAAAA